rnacentral:rRNA from 1 species
AGAGUUUGAUCAUGGCUCAGGAUGAACGCUAGCUACAGGCUUAACACAUGCAAGUCGAGGGGCAGCAUGUUGGUUGCUUGCAACCAAUGAUGGCGACCGGCGCACGGGUGAGUAACGCGUAUCCAACCUACCCUUGUCCAUCGGAUAACCCGUCGAAAGGCGGCCUAACACGAUAUGCGGUUCACAGCAGGCAUCUAAGGUGAACGAAAUGUGAAGGAGAAGGAUGGGGAUGCGUCUGAUUAGCUUGUUGGCGGGGUAACGGCCACCAAGGCGACGAUCGAGGUAGGGGUUCUGAGAGGAAGGUCCCCCANAUUGGAACUGAGACACGGUCCAAACUCCUACGGGAGCA